rnacentral:tRNA from 1 species
GGCGGACGUAGCCAAGC